UACGAAGGGGGCUAGCGUUGCUCGGAAUCACUGGGCGUAAAGCGCACGUAGGCGGAUUGUUAAGUCAGGGGUGAAAUCCUGGAGCUCAACUCCAGAACUGCCUUUGAUACUGGCGAUCUCGAGUCCGGGAGAGGUGAGUGGAACUGCGAGUGUAGAGGUGAAAUACGUAGAGAUUGGGAAGAACACCAGUGGCGAAGGCGGCUAUCUGGACGGUUUCUGACGCUAAGACGCGAAAGCGUGGGGAGCAAACAGG
rnacentral:rRNA from 1 species